UUGGAGCGAGGCACGGUCUAUUGCGUUGACUUGGUUGACCUAAAGAGGAGGAGGCACGGUCUAUUGCCUUCUUCGCCAUGGACGUGACCUUUCUGUUCAUUUGCAGAGCUUAUCAAGAACAGGGAAAGAAAAGCGCAUGACAGAUUCAAGACGACAACAUUUGGGGGUCUUUAGUAGUUCACGUUGAAGCCACACCACAAACCCACAUACAAGAAACUGAAUAAAAGAGAUUCGCAACCAUCACAAGGCAAAAUCUAAUCGAUGUCAUACUUUAAUGCACGCCUCGCCAUACUACUCAAUUCAAGAGCCUUCAACUCGAGAACCCUUCACCGAAUUUCCCUCAAGUAAAGCUAAAAACCAACACCAUCGUCGAACUUACUCGGUUGGAGCGACACACGGCCUCUUGGGUUGACUUGGUUGACCUGAAGAAGAGGAGGCCGAAGCUCUCUUCGCCAUGGACGCGACCUCUCUGUUCUUCUGUGCAGCUUACAAGAAACAGGGAAAGUGCCUGGAAUCUUGGGAGCGCUUUCGGUUGCCGAGAGAAGAGAGUAGCAGAGAAAGGAAUGACACAGAAGACAGUUUUACCAACGAAC
rnacentral:lncRNA from 1 species